GGUACGUGCGGGCCGGGAGAGGCGGUAAGACGUAGGGGGGAAGCGUUGGCCGGAAUGAUGGGGCGUAAAGCGCGCGGAGGCGGUCUGUCACGUCUGCUGUGAAAGCCCGGGGCUUAACCCCGGGCGUGCAGUGGAUACGGGCAGACUAGAGGCAGGUAGGGGAGAAUGGAAUUCCCGGUGUAGCGGUGAAAUGCGCAGAUAUCGGGAGGAACACCGGUGGCGAAGGCGGUUCUCUGGGCCUGACCUGACGCUGAGGAGCGAAAGCGUGGGGAGCGAACAGGAUUAGAUACCCUGGUAGUC
rnacentral:rRNA from 1 species